rnacentral:rRNA from 1 species
GAUGAACGCUGGCGGCGUGCCUAAUACAUGCAAGUCGAGCGAACUGAUUAGAAGCUUGCUUCUAUGACGUUAGCGGCGGACGGGUGAGUAACACGUGGGCAACCUGCCUGUAAGACUGGGAUAACUUCGGGAAACCGAGGCUAAUACCGGAUGGGAUAUUCUCCUUCAUGGGAGAUGAUUGAAAGAUGGUUUCGGCUAUCACCUACAGAUGGGCCCGCGGUGCAUUAGCUAGUUGGUGAGGUAACGGCUCACCAAGGCAACGAUGCAUAGCCGACCUGAGAGGGUGAUCGGCCACACUGGGACUGAGACACGGCCCAGACUCCUACGGGAGGCAGCAGUAGGGAAUCUUCCGCAAUGGACGAAAGUCUGACGGAGCAACGCCGCGUGAGUGAUGAAGGCUUUCGGGUCGUAAAACUCUGUUGUUAGGGAAGAACAAGUACAAGAGUAACUGCUUGUACCUUGACGGUACCUAACCAGAAAGCCACGGCUAACUACGUGCCAGCAGCCGCAGUAACAC